rnacentral:misc_RNA from 1 species
GGGGGAUGUGCCAGAAGAUUCAAAGAGAGGAGAGCCAAAUAGCAAUGCCAAUACUUUACCGGAUGAAACUAAUUCUGAAGCGGCUACCGAGCAGGAAAAAAUCAGUGAAAUUCCUGCACAGAAGACCAAAAGUGACUCGGAAGACAUGUCGAAGACACAGGGUUACAGUGAUGCGAAUGGGACUACUGAAGGGGGUGAAGCAAAUAAGGAGGUUGGUGAUACGAUUCCAGAAGGCAUUCAAGAGAAGGUCAAGGAAAACAACUCUGAUGACACAGAUAGCAAAAAGCAGGAGAAGAACGAUAAACAAAAUACUGAGGAAAUCACGACCAAUGAGCAAGACAAGAACCCAGUACAGGAUUCUAAGGAUUCUGGAAAUGAUGAACAGACAUCGGAUGGUGACAAGAAGCCCGAGCAAGAGGAAAAAUCUGAUACCACACAGGAUGAGAAGGAGCAGGGUCAAAUAGAGGAGAAAGUUGAGACUAUCCAAGAGAAGGAUGUUGAACAGAACUCUGAGGAGAAGAAAUCUGACGAGGAGAAAAAGGACCAGGGGUCAAAUGAGGUGUUUCCUGAUGCUGCUCAGGCGGAGCUUCUGAAUGAGACCAAUACCCAAAAUGGGGCAUGGUCUACACAAGCAGCCGAGUCGAAGAAUGAGAAGGAAGUGCAAGCAUCCUCGAAGGGCCAAACCACUGGUUACAGCUGGAAACUAUGCAAUGUCAGUGCUGGUGCAGAUUAUAUCCCCUGUCUUGACAAUCAGGCAGCACUCAAGAAGCUUACAAGUACCAAGCAUUAUGAACAUCGAGAGAGGCAUUGUCCAGAGGAGCCUCCAACCUGUCUUGUUUCUAUCCCGGAGGGAUACAAACGGCCGAUUGAGUGGCCAAGUAGCAGGGACAAGAUAUGGUACCACAAUGUCCCUCAUACCAAGCUUGCAGUGGUGAAGGGGCACCAAAAUUGGGUCAAAGUUACUGGGGAGUACCUCACUUUUCCGGGUGGUGGAACUCAGUUCAAGCAUGGUGCACUCCACUACAUCGAUAUCAUUCAGGAGGCAUUGCCUGAUAUAGCCUGGGGAAAAAGAAGCCGUGUCAUUCUUGAUGUUGGG